rnacentral:rRNA from 1 species
AGAACGAACGCUGGCGGCAUGCCUAAUACAUGCAGGUCGAACGAACACUUCGGUGUUAGUGGCGCACGGGUGCGUAACGCGUGGGAAUCUGCCCUUGGGUUCGGAAUAACAGUUGGAAACGACUGCUAAUACCGGAUGAUGACGAAAAGUCCAAAAGAUUUAUCGCCCAGGGAUGAGCCCGCGUAGGAUUAGCUAGUUGGUGAGGUAAAGGCUCACCAAGGCGACGAUCCUUAGCUGGUCUGAGAGGAUGAUCAGCCACACUGGGACUGAGACACGGCCCAGACUCCUACGGGAGCAGCAGUAGGAAUAUGGACAAUGGGCGCAAGCCUGAUCCAAGCAAAUGCCGCGUGAGUGAAUGAAACGGCCUUAGGGUUGUAAAAGCUUCUUUUAACCCGAGAUGAAUAAUGACAGUAUCGGAAGAAUAAAGCCCCCGGCUAACUCCGCGCCCAGCCGCGCC